AGGAACCAGAGGAACCAGAGGAACCAGAGUUAGACCAGAGGAACCAGAGUAGACCAGAGUUAGACCAGAGGAGCCAGAGUUAGACCAGAGUUAGACCAGAGGAACCAGAUUUAGACCAGAGGAACCAGAGUUAGACCAGAGUUAGACCAGAGGAACAGAGUUAGACCAGAGGAACCAGAGCUAGACCAGAGGAACCAGAGUUAGACCAGAGGAACCAGAGCUAGACCAGAGGAACCAGAGCUAGACCAGAGGAACCAGAAUUAGACCAGAGUUAGACCAGAGGAGCCAGAGUUAGACCAGAGUUAGACCAGAGUUAGACCAGAGUUAGACCAGAGGAGCCAGAGUUAGACUAGAGGAACCAGAGUUAGACCAAAGGAACCAGAGUUAGACCAGAGGAACCAGAGUUAGACCAGAGUUAGACCAGAGUUAGACCAGAGUUAGACCAGAGUUAGACCAGAGGAACCAGAG